UAUCAUCUCUUAUUCAAUAUGGCUCCUGCAUCUCUAUUGCCAGAAUCUCCUGAACCUCCUGCUACUCCUCCAAAACAAUUGACCCACAAUCAACAUUGAGAUAUCCUUCUUCUUUGCAGACUGGAUUGGACCUAUCAAAAGAUCUCUGAUCAGCUUGUCAACUCACUGAGGAACAGAUAAAUGAGAUUAUAGAGUUCAUCUCUGCCUCCAGAAUCAACCAUCAAAUGCCAUUCUACUACCGAGUCUCUAACCUAGCAAGCUUCUCACUGAUUAUAAGCUAAGGUUGGGGCUUAUAUAGUGUUGCUGAGCUUGUUCACUAAGUCAGGAGAUAGUGCCACUAUCACAGGUUAAGAUAUAACAUCAAGAGGAAUAUCUAGAAUGACUAGCAAUAGCUAUGAUGGUGGUCUAAGAUAGAUAAUAAGAAUAUCUAGUAGGGCUUACAGAGUAGAGUGAAUGCUUAAGAUAUGUGUUGUGAAGAAGUAUACUUAAGAUGAGCUUAUAGUUGUACAAUGUAACUGAGUAUAAGUAAUAGAAUGAGGAGUAGAUAAUAAGAUAAAAUA
rnacentral:sRNA from 1 species